GUCCAGUCCAGGGCUGCAGCUCUUGGUCACCAUGGGACUGAGUUGCUCCUCCCUGAGCCCUGACCUCCCUUCCCAGCUGGGGCUUCGACUGGAGCACGCAGAGGAAAUUGUGGACAGGCUAUUCUUUGGUCCAAAGUCACACUGGGGACAGGAAGAGAAGAGAAAGGCCCAGCCAGACAAGCCUCGAAGCCCAGAGCCAGGGCCAGCCAUCCCUGAGUGUCCAGGAGAAAGAUCCAGAAAGAUGAGAGACCUGCAACAAAAGGAUCCUGGACUGAUUAAAAAUGUUGAUAGCAGUUAAAAAUGUUCCUGCAAACUACACAACUUCAUUCUUCUUUACACCUGCAUACUACUCCAGCGUGAGUAUCACCACAUUUUCUUUAUCCAUUCACCUGUUGGUAGGCACCUAGGUCUGCUUCCGUAUC
rnacentral:lncRNA from 1 species